CUUCCUUCCUACCUACUUCCUUCCUACCUACUUCCUUCCUACCUACCUACUUCCUUCCUACCUACUUCCUUCCUAUCUACUUCCUUCCUUCCUACCUACUUCUUUCCUUCCUACCUACUUCCUUUCUUCCUACUUCUCUCCUUCCCUCCCUCCCUCAUCUCUCUCCCUCCCUCCCUCCCUCCCUCCCAUUCUUCUCUCUGUCUCUGUCUCUCUCUCCCUCCCUCCCUUCUUGAAAAAGGGUCUCAACAAAGUAACUUAGGUUGAAUUCAAGCUCAGGACGGUCCUGUUCAGCCCCCGGAGAGUCAUGGUCCAUCGUUCAAAAGAUGCACCCCUAGAACAGCCAUGGACCAGGCCCAGCAGUGUGCUCAGGGGGGUGUCCCACCUUCAGUUGAUGCUCAUGGUGAAGUCAGGAGUCGUCAACCUCAGAGCAUUUCAGACUCAAAAAUAAAUUUCCAGGCACCACAUAAUCAGGCUGCAGGCUCAUGAACGAUAAGAAAAAAAAAGAACUUUGAAUAUUAUGCUAGACUAAAGAUCAAUAGACCGGAAUAUCAGAUACCUGCUCUCAGACUCGCACCAGAGCCUAGAUCAUCCAGUUUGAUGCCUCCUCAAAGGAGCUUCCACUACUCAAGGAAGGGAGGAAGAAAGGAAAGAGGACAGGCUACCUCGGUCUUCUGGAAGAUUCCAGGGGGAGAAAAGAGGAAGUGGAGGAGAAGGCAGAGGAAGAGGAGGCGAUAGGAGAGGAGGAGGAGAUGUGGACCAGUCAUUAACUGAAGGCCCCGAAAGUGUGACACAGCGUGGCCACGUGUCAACAUAAUGGCGACUGAGUGUGAUAGGAUUUUAAACGAAGGGUCAACGUUACACAAUUCAGAAGAAUUUCCAAGAUGAUUUAGAAGUCAGGAUACGGAACCCACCAGUGAUUUAGAACUUCUGGUAGUCGUUAUCGCAUAAAAUUAUUAUAAAUUAAUGGGCUACACUAA